rnacentral:rRNA from 1 species
UACGGGGGGGGCAAGCGUUGUUCGGAAUUACUGGGCGUAAAGGGCGCGUAGGUGGCCAACUAAGUCAGACGUGAAAUCCCUCGGCUUAACCGGGGAACUGCGUCUGAUACUGGAUGGCUUGAGUGUGGGAGAGGGAUGCGGAAUUCCAGGUGUAGCGGUGAAAUGCGUAGAUAUCUGGAGGAAUACCGGUGGCGAAGGCGGCAUCCUGGACCGACAUUGACGCUGAGGAGCGAAAGCUAGGGGAGCAAACGGG